GCGUGGGGUGAGUCUGCCAUAUCCCUCAACAGUUUGUCCUGAAUCUGGUAUUCUCAGCUGUGAGCCACUGAGGCCAGGUGACAAAUACAAAAACCAGGGUCGCUGUCCUUCAAUGACUCACCCAGAUGCUCACCACGAACCAUAUGGUACCAGUGACCGGACAGGGCCGGGCCACUCCGCAUUCUGGAUAGCACAGGCUGGAGCAAGUCAUCUUUCUGGGAUGGAGGUAAACCUGAAACACACAACAGGGACUAGAGUCAAAAGAAGGUAAUAGGAAACAUUUUUCCCAUGAAUCCACCAGUGCCUGCAACUCAAUAACUAUACAAGAUAAUUAUGGAAGAACACCGUGAUCCCUCAUAUAAAAACACAUGAAUAAAAGCAAGAUUCAGUCUUCAAUGAAAAUAGCCCCUACUGUCACAUCUCUAGAGUUCGUAAGCAAUUGAGUGUAAUUGGACUUACCGAGCUCACCGAGGAGAUGAAGUCCGGAGAAGUGAUUAGAAGAGCCCUGAGUUGUGAGCACUUUUAUACAGUUCCUAGGACUGCCUGGAGGAUCUGCGAUGCUGUUUGUGGUGGAGGUCCUAAUUAGUUGCCAAACAAACUUGAUUGCCUUGCUAUGUCCUCCUUUAACUGGAGCUUUUUUCCUCAGGGGCUUUGAUCAUUGGGCCAAUCUCAGCCUCAGAGGGUGUGACGUGCACAUUGCACUCUUCAUCUUUCUUUCAUCUUAAUAUUGUAUGGGCCAACUGCAUUCCUCGUGUCAUUUUACUGAGUUUUUUGUGGCUGCAGUGAGAAUGAAUGUGAAGGUGAUUCUGAGCGGCAUCAAUAGCACAACCCACACUGAUGGAAGGAAUCCAGUUUGAGCCUUUCAAUUCAUACUGGUCGUGGCCAGGUGCAUUGGGUCCUUCAUUGUAAACCUGCUAGGAAGGAGGGAGCCAUUUUUCUGCAUUCUCACCAUCUCCAUCCUCACUGGCUCAGAUCCAAUUCCUUUUGAAGUCAAUCGGAAUCAUUCCGUUUUCUCCAGCAUGUUUCCUGUCAGGACCUUAUAUUUGAUAUUCACCUGUCGGCAGGGGUAUAGUAAAAUGCCCUAUGAACAAUUUUAGUCCCACUAAACUUUCAAACUGGAUCUUAGCAGGGACCUAAGUGGAACAUGGGCCUUUGUGAUGGCCGUCUGCCUAGGGGUGAAUCUUACCCUACGGUGAGUAAAACUUUACCUAAUAUUGGACCUCCACUUGUGUCACUAAUGAGAUCACAAAGGGCUGCCUAGAACAGAUUUGCUCACGGGUCAAAGUAGGGAUGAUGGCGAGUGAAAGGAUUCAAUCCUCUUUUCUAGAUAAGGCUUAAGUUAAGUCUUGGAAUCUCUACUCCAUCAAAAAACAUCUCUCCAUCCAUGAGCAGGCUAGAAUCUGAAAUUGUCCGAUGGAAUUCAAGCUUGUUCACGCGCAGUGUAGGAAUACAAAUCUCAAUAUAGGAUUCAAAUGGAAAAAAUUUUGGGACCAUACAAUGUGUCUGCUCAAGUGUAAAUAUGCACCACUGAGGCUAAACCUUCAAACAAAGAGACUUAAAGUCCAUGGCAAGACUUUAGGUGGUUGAUUGUUUUUCACUCUUACAUGAGAAGAUGUUUCACCACAAAGAUCCUCCAAAAAAUUUAAAAAAAAAAAUAAAGAAAAAAUCCAGAAUGAGCCUCUCUAAGAGUUACUGUCAGGUGAGUGAUUUAUUUGGAAGCCAUGAAAUGUAAUGUAUUAGAUGGGUAGACAUGUUGGACGAUGCCACUGAAGAAGUGGGGGUUCAGUUUUGACUCUGUCAGUCGCUCCCUGUCUGACCUUCACUGAAACUUGCCAUGGUAAACAGGCAUAAUUGUAAUAUGCAGGUUGGAUCAUCUGAAGCGUCCUCUGAUCUAAGCAUUUCAAAGCACUUUACAAACACACAUCAUGUUUUAUAUGGUCAA